CUGCAAUCCUGAAACAGGUCCAGCUGUAGACCAUGAUCAGAAGCAGCAGCAUGCUAUGGGACUUCCAGGGGAAUGGCUGUAGACUUGCAAAGAAAUAGUGCCCUGCAGAAAUUAUGUGUGGGAAGUUAAAGGAUGAGACAUGGGACAGACUGUAGAAAGUAGAAUCAUCACCCUUCAUCACCCAGAUCAGGAAUCGCUUUCCAAGGAGGUGCCCACAUGAGGAGAGCUGGAGACAGUGACUGGGAUUGACCAUGGCUCAGCGAUUGCUGGGCAUA